UACGAAGGACCCGAGCGUUAUCCGGAUUUAUUGGGUUUAAAGGGUGCGUAGGCGGCUUUGUAAGUCAGUGGUGAAAUACUCUAGCUUAACUAGAGGGGUGCCAUUGAUACUGCAGAGCUUGAGUACAGAUGAGGUAGGCGGAAUUGACGGUGUAGCGGUGAAAUGCAUAGAUAUCGUCAAGAACACCGAUAGCGAAGGCAGCUUACUGGGCUGUAACUGACGCUGAUGCACGAAAGUGUGGGGAUCAAACAGG
rnacentral:rRNA from 1 species